CUUUGAUUGAAGAACAUUGUAUUUUUGUGUUAAUGUACUACAAUAUUCCAUGUUUGAUCAGUAAAAUCUGAAUGUUUAUUAUUUACUGUGUCUACUUAUCUAUUGCCAUGCACCUAUUUGAUGAUAACAAAAAGGGGGAGAAGCAAGGAAAGAAAAUUAAGUUGUAAUAAGUUGACAAACAAGUACAAUAUACACUUAAGGGGGUUGACAAACAAGGACAUAUACACUUAAGGGGGAGCGAUAUGUAUUAAAGUCUAAACUUUUAAUCAAAUUUCAGAAUUUGGCACAUACCUCUCACACCUCGAUACAUAAUCUGAAACUCUUGUUUUAUCUCAAAUUUUUGACGUUUCAUCUUUAACCAAAUAUAAAAGAAAGGGGGAGUAAAUCAAAAGUUCAAAUUGGCAAUAUUUAGAUGAAAUAGGGGGAGACUUCACUCUCAAAUUUGAAAAGCUGAAAUUCAGCAACUUGAGCCCUUCUAAAACUAAUUUUAAGAUAAGAAUCAACUUGCUGAUACUCAAUAUUUUGUAAUCAUUAAAACGGGGGAGAUUGAGGAUGAUAGUGUUAUUUUGAUUAUUAACACAACCAUUGAGGGUAUACCUAAUUAAAUAUUACAAGGUAAUAUGAUACAUCAUUACUAAGUUCGUCACUCUCGGUACAUUAGUAGAAUGAGAUCAAGAUGUAUUUUAAUGAUUAAAAAUGAGAUAAAAUUUGUGAUAGAAAAGGGAUAGUGAAUUCAAAAUUCCAAUUCGGCAAAGUUUCAAGUGAAACGUACUCUUAAGUGGACAAUAGUAAUUUUCAUUGUUUAGAGUAUGUAGCACCACCAUGACAUAUAUUCAAAAUUGUUUGAAGACAUCCAAGUGACUGACGAGUGGAUAGACAUCCAAGUGACUUCUUGUCUUGGUCACGCUCAGUACCCUUGUUCUCUAACAAGCACUUGCACUCUCACUUCAGUGUCCCUACACUGUGGACUCGAGUCUCGUCCAUCCAUAAGGAAAGCGAUCUGUGCACUGAUCGGAUCGAUCACCGUCCUCGUGAUGAUCCAUUGAUCAGGAGCAUUUA
rnacentral:lncRNA from 1 species